UAUGAAGUCGGAAUUGCUAGUAAUCGCGGAUCAGCAUGCCGCGGUGAAUACGUUCCCGGGCCUUGUACACACCGCCCGUCACACCAUGAGAGUCGAUAACACCCGAAGCCUGUAGUCUAACAGCAAUGAGGACGCAGUCGAAGGUGGGAUUGAUAAUUAGGGUGAAGUCGUAACAAGGUAAC
rnacentral:rRNA from 1 species